GGGAAAGUGACUCAGUGGUAGAGUGCUUGCCUUGCAUGCAUGAGGCCCUGGGUUCCAUUCCUCAGCACCA
rnacentral:tRNA from 1 species